AAUAUUUUUUAUGAUGAUUUCAUAGUUCAUCUGAUUGCUAUGAUGCAUUACUAUUAUGUCUUUCGCUCCUAUCUGAUGGAUUAG
rnacentral:snoRNA from 1 species